rnacentral:rRNA from 1 species
UACGAAGGGUGCAAGCGUUACUCGGAAUUACUGGGCGUAAAGCGUGCGUAGGCGGUCUGUUAAGUCCGUUGUGAAAGCCCUGGGCUCAACCUGGGAAUUGCAGUGGAUACUGGCGAGGCUAGAGUACGGUAAAGGAUGGUGGAAUUCCCGGUGUAGCGGUGAAAUGCGUAGAGAUCGGGAGGAACACCCGUGGCGAAGGCGGCCAUCUGGGCCAGUACUGACGCUGAGGCACGAAAGCGUGGGGAGCAAACAGG